rnacentral:rRNA from 1 species
UCAUACUGUAUGUACUUUAUUUUUAUUAGAGUGCUGCUUGGACUACAUAUGGUUGAGGGUUGUA